UCCUGUUCCUGUCCGGCUGAGGGGACUGGGACGUGUGGGUAAGCGCAGUCGCUGGGUAAUGCGCCAUGUGACGCGCUGUGGGACUGUAGUUCCUGGACCAACGCCGAGACUUCCUAAAUCCCUCCGGAAAGGGAUGCGUUGGGCCUGUGAUCUGGCGACUGGGAGGGUCAGGAGUCCCAGUAGAGGAAACCACGGGAAAAGAAUGAAAGAGGGAGGCGAGCCUGGCACGGCUUCCUGGAGAAACAAACUAAGCUAACAAAUUUUUCGGAUCCUUUGUGCAGCUAAUUUUACAGUGCUGUUUCAUACAUGUUAUUAUAUUUGGACAUCACGGUCUGUUGAGUGGUCUCCCUCUCUACUGCAAGCUCUGCUGUAAUCCAGAGACACUCAAUUAUCUCUGUAGGAUAAUUUAUUCAUUCGAUUAACAUACAUUACUACGAGCUUUUUAUAAACCAGUACUGUUCCAAGCACCAGAGAUACAUAGCUAUGAACGAAACAAAUAUCCCUGCUCAGGAAAUUCACAAUAGAGUGAGGGGAAAUAAGCGAAUAAACAAUGAAUCUCUUGUUCUGAGGGAAGCCAUGUACAUCAUUAGCCGUUCUAUAAAGAGGAUCACAUGGCAAGAAACUGAAGCAUUCUGCCAGCAGCCCUGUGAAUGAACUUGGAAGUAGACCCUCCAGCCCUAAUCAAGUCUUCAGAGACUGUACUCAGCCAACAAUUGACUGCAACCUCAUAAGAGACCCUGAGCCAGAUCGCCCAACCAGAAACUGUACUAUGGAAAUUAUGUUAGACAAAAAACAAAUGUAAGCAGUUUUCUUAUUCAAGUUCAAAAUGGGCUGCAAAGCAGCAGAGACAACUUGCAACAUCAAGAACACAUUUGGCCCAGGAACUGCUAAUGAACGUACAGUGCAGUGGUGGUUCAAGAAGUUUUGCAAAGGAUGGCCAGGUGCAGCAGCUCACACCUGUAAUCCCAGCACUUUGGGAGGCCAAGGCAUCCAGAACACUUGAGGUCAGGAGUUCGAGACCAGCCAGGCCAACAUGGUGAAACCCCAUCUCUACUAAAAAUAAAAAAAUUAGCUGGGCAUGGUGGCAUGCACCUGUAAUCCCAGCUACUCGGGAGGCUGAGGUGGGAGAAGCGCUUGAACCCGGGAGGCAGAGGUUGCAGUGAGCCGAGAUUGUGCCACGGCACUCCAGUGACAGAACAAGACUCCGUCUCAAUUUAAAAGAAAAAAAGAAAGAAAGUUUUGCAAAGGAGCUGAGAGCCUUGAAGAUGAUGAGCAUAGUGACCGGCCAUGGGAAGUUGACAACGACCAGUUGAGAGCAAUCAUUGAAGCUGAUCCUCUUAUAGCUACAUGAGAAGUUCCCUAAGAACUCAAUGUUGACCAUUCUAUGGUCACUCAGCAUUUGAAGCAAAUUGGAAAAGUAAAAAAGCUCGAUAAGUGGGUGCCUCAUGAGCCAACUGAAAAUAAAAAAAAAUAUUGUUUUGAAAUGUUGUCUUCUCUUAUUCUACACAACAAUGAACCAUUUCUCGAUCAGAUUGAGAUGUGCUAUGAAAAGUAGAUUUUAUACAACAGCUGGCAAUGACCAGCUCAAUGGUUGGGCCCAGAAGAAGCUCCACAGCACUUCCCAAAGCACCAAAAACAGGUCAUGGUCACCGUUUGGUGGUCUGCUGCCAGUCUGAUCCACUACGGCUUUCCGAAUCCUGGUGAAACCAUUACAUCUGAGAAGUAUGCUUAGCAAAUCAAUGAGGCACUGAAAAGUGCCACACCUGCAGCUGACAGUGGUCAACAGAAAGGACCCAAUUCUUCUCCACAACUACAAUGGCCGACUGCAUGUUGCACAACCAACCCUUCAAAAGUUGAACAAAUUGAUCUAUGAAGUUUUGCCUCAUCCACCAUAUUCAUCUGACCUGUGGCCAACCAACUACCACUUCUUCAAGCAUCUCAACAACUUUUUGCAGAGAAAACACUUCUACAACCAACAGGAUGCAGAAAAUGCUUUUUAAGAGUUCGGCGAAUCCGGAAGCACAGCUUUUUACACUACAGGAAUAAAUGAACUUAUUUCUGAUUGGCAAAAAGGUGUUGAUUGUAAUGGUUCCUAUUUUGAUUAAUAAAAAUGUAUUUGAGCC